rnacentral:rRNA from 1 species
CAGUCGCCGCGGUAAUACGAGGGGGGCAAGCGUUGUUCGGAAUUAUUGGGCGUAAAGGGCGCGUAGGCGGUUUGGCAAGUUUGGUGUGAAAUCUUCGGGCUCAACUCGAAGUCUGCAUCGAAAACUGCCGGGCUUGAGUAUGGGAGAGGUGAGUGGAAUUUCCGGUGUAGCGGUGAAAUGCGUAGAUAUCGGAAGGAACACCUGUGGCGAAAGCGGCUCACUGGACCAUAACUGACGCUGAGGCGCGAAAGCUAGGGGAGCAAACAGGAUUAGAUACCCCUGUAGUCCCUGUCUCUUAUAC